rnacentral:misc_RNA from 1 species
UGGGUCUCUUAGGAGAGGGC